GCGGCAGCUGGUCGGGCCUGGUGGGGUGAGAGGAUGACAAAGGAAUGAGCCAGCCCACCUGCAGACAGGCAGUGCCGUCCCAAGGCCGGGGAGCCAGGGAGAGGGAGGAAAAGUGUGUCCUGGUCUUGCCUGUGUGAGAGGGGAGCGUGCAGAUCUGGGGGCAGUGCCUGGACAAGAAACGAGUGAACACCGUGAACUCGGACUGGACUCAGAGCAGGGGGUCCCCUGCCAGGGUGAACUGCAACCCUGGCUCGUGGGCUCCCACCAAAGGGAGGGGCCCGAGUGCCCAUGUGAGGUUGGUGGGAGGUGAGAUUUGAGGAAUAAGCUUAAGAAGUCCUUUGAAGGAGGCUCAUUUUAUACAUACAAAGACUUGAAAUUUUUUUUUCUGUGUUUUCUUCCUUUUGCUCUACUUAAUAGUUUCCCAGAAUCAAAGAACUGAAAAUGCAAGGAAGCAAGAGGAAGGAAAGAAUGGACGCAAAGAAAGAAAAGGAAAAAGAAAACCACCAGGAUCGCUGACUUUCAUGGGGCUGGAAUUCCUGAAUCACUGGACGCAUCCCUAUGCUGUAACAAGGGUUCCAUGCUGUGGGAACUGCGAAACACUUAGAAACGGGGACCGGUACGCAAACAGUAACCUGAGCUGCAAUAACGGCCCUGGACGCACGCAGUCGGUCUGACAUCUGUGAUUCUAGGGACAAACUGUGCAGUGGCCCCAGAUAUGAAAGGACUCGAGGACUCUCUUAGUUUCCACGCUUGGCAGCAAGAACAAGGCAGCAAUGUAAGCAGACUGGAGGAGGAUGGAGAUUGCAAGGGAAAGAGAAAGGUGAUGACUACGUAUCACCAUCAAACACAAGCAGCAACCAUGCACCAUGCAUGGGCUCCCUG